AAGGUCCAAGAUGUCCAGUAAUAGAAACUUGUAUCUUUGCAUAUGCUUCCUCUGUAGAUGGAAAGCUCUAUCUUUCUUCUCUCCCAGGCCCCUUCUUCACAAGGAGAUUUCAUCCUCCUGCUUUGAGAUCAGCUCAAGCAUCAACACUUCUGUGAAGUCUUUCUUGAUGAUCACAAGAGUCUGCGGCUCUGCCCAAUGUAGAUGUGAAGAGAGACCAGCUCUCUGA
rnacentral:lncRNA from 1 species